UUUUAAAGAUCUCCUUGUGGUUCUGCAAACGUCAGUUGCACGAUCCAAUUCUGAAAAUUCGAAUGGGCGAUGAACUGGAAGCGGUUUAAGAAGUUCAACUUCGUCGGAAAUGGAGCAACGACUUAACAGUCUCCGACCAGUUUCAUUGACCGCCGUUCACUCUGAUUCACACGGGUAACUGCUCGAAAAUCUAUAGCGUUUCACAUCUUCAAGCCCAAAACCAAAUUUGCCGCUUAUGGAGGAAUCGAAAGCUGCGGCGUACUACGAUGAGCUCACUCGUAAAGGAGAAGGGGCAGCAAGGUUCAAACGAGGCCUCGGUUUUUCCGCCUCCGACUCCAACAGUGACGUGGUCUCCGCGUCCAAGGGCUCCGCGCUGCCUUCGUCGUCUUCCUUCCUCAGUUCUUUUGUUAAAGCCUCAAGCCCUUCCAAGGCCUCCGAGUUCGAAAAGCAAGCGCAGCUCGAGGCCAUUCAGAACAAGCUUAAGAAGAAGAAACCAAGCUCUCCCGAAGGAGAAGAGAGGCGCCCUAGGGCUUUGGAGAGAGAUCGUCGGAAAUCGAGCCCUAGACGAAGGUCUUUGAGUAAGGAGAGGGAGAGACAUUCGCAUUCGAGGAGGCGGAGUUCGAGUAGAGAUAGGGAGAGACAUUCGAGGCGGCGAAGUAGGAGUCGAGAUAGGUAUGGGGAUACGUAUAGAGAUAGGGAUAGAGAGAGGAGGAGGAGAAGUAGGUCUAGGAGUAAUUCAGAUAGGGACCGGCGGCGUCGACGGAGUAGAAGCUUGUCGCUAGAGAGGAAGAAGUUGAAUGGAAGUAAGGGAGGGGGAAAACAGAAAGACCGUAAAGUUGAAGGACAGAAGACUGAAGGUGUUGAUUAUUCAAGAUUGAUUGAAGGAUAUGACAUGAUGUCUCCAGCUGAAAGAGUGAAAGCGAAGAUGAAACUACAACUUGCUGAAACUGCCAGAACGGAUGAUACAAAAGGCACAGGCCCAGGUUGGGAAAGGUUUGAGUUCAACAAGGAUGCUCCACUUGAUGAUGAAGAAAUUGAAGCUGCAGAAGAUGAUGCAACAUUAGUAAAGCAUAUUGGACAAAGCUUUCGAUUUUCUGCAAUUGAGGCUAGGAAAGAGGAGCAAAUCAAAGCUGCUCAUGACGAGGCCAUGUUUGGAGCACCAGUGGGUCAAUUAUUAAGUACAACCAAUGAUGAGGACGAGCUGGGGAACGAAAAGUCGAAGGAGUUGUGUGAUAGCGGUGUGGCAACAAGUCUAUUGAGUGAGAAGAUAAUUGCAAAACAACAAGGUUCUUGGCGUGACCGUGCUCGUAAAGUUUAGAUCAACAAGCUGAUAUUUGGUAGGUUCCUAAACUGGUUCAGAAUUCCAUUGCCCAUUGCUGGUUAUGAUAGCUGUUUUUGGAUUUUGUUGCAUGUGGGCUUCUGUCUGCCUCCCAGUAAAAGAUACCAAGAACGUCAGGUACAACUUUUGCCCAUAUCCAGCCCAAGGAUAAGUGUACUUUUUGUAAUGCGUGUUGGUUCUAGUUGUGGCUUUAUGUCAUGUAUAUUAUUAUCUUAUUGUUUGUUUUAGGAGUUUGAAGAUGAAAAAUAUCAAGUGAUACAUUAGAUUGAUUCAUGUAAGCCUAAAUUAUAGGAAGAAAUAUCAAGCAUUUUCUGUCGAGUAUUUUUAA